GCCUGCUACCCCAUCCAUCACCAGUGACGCUACCAACACCAGUGACGUCACCACUGAGGGGGGCAUCCUGCCCCACCUCCUCCCUCUCUAACAGAAGUCAUCCAGGCCCAUAUAGAAUGGAGAAGGCGGGAAGUGGAGAGUGGAAUACGGGCUCUUCAACAUGAAGAGUCCUUAUUGGACAUUUUAGAGAUAGUUAUUAGAGAAUAUUAGGUUUUUGUAGUGUUAGUUAGUAUUAGUUUUGUAUUAUGUUUAAUUUGUUAUCUUUGUGUAUAUAUUGUUAACUUUUGUUCAUAUGGUGUUUGUGUAAAUAAAGGUGCCCAAGGGUGGGCAAA